rnacentral:misc_RNA from 1 species
AUCGAGAAGGAUAUUGCGGCC